UGGAGACCGGCAAGAUGGUCCACUGAACGCAAUCGAGAUAGAACAACAGAGACUUUGGUGGACCAAGCGAGCACAACUAGAAUGCCAAGAAGGACUCUGCUUCAAACAAGACCAGCUCCAACUGAAUCUGCAGCUAAACAGCGAAGAUAUAUUUGAAUGCAGAGGGCGAAUUGAAGGAGAGUUCCCGAUUUACCUGCCAGAUAGUCAUCCCUUUACGCACGGAAUUGUACGACAAGCGCAUCUAUCGACAUUACACGGUGGUGUCUCGCUGACAAUGGCAAAGGUACGUGACGUCUAUUGGAUUCCCAGAUUGCGUCGCUUGGUCAAGAAAGUGAGAAGUGCCUGCUGGGGUUGCAAGAGAUUUAGAGCCCAAGCAUACCAAUCCCCACCUCCCGGAAACCUUCCAAGCACAAGGACACAAGGGUCUGCGCCAUUCCAAGUAAUCGGGGUGGACUUUGCAGGCCCAAUUUAUUACCAAUCGAAGCCCGGAACUGAAAGCAAAGCAUAUCUGGCCUUGUACGGAUGCAGCCUGACAAGAGCGUUAUAUCUAGAUUUAUUGAAGUCAUUGGAAGCAACCGAAUUCAUCAUAAGCCUCAAACGGUUUAUCGCACGCCGAGGCAGACCAAAACUUAUAUACUCGGACAAUGGCUCGACAUUCAAGGCCACCAAGAAAUGGCUCCGACAAGUGCAGAAAGAUGAACGACUUAAUGAUUACCUGGCUGACCUCUCCAUCAAGUGGCAAUUUAACUUGAGUCGUGCCCCUUGGUGGGGAGGCCAAUUUGAGCGUUUAAUUGGCCUUUUCAAGAACGCCUUCUACAAGACCGUAGGGAAUCGCACAUUAAGAUGGACGGAGCUCGAGGAAGUUGUGAUCGACGUAGAGGUCUCUCUUAAUAAUAGGCCUCUGAGUUACGUAGAGGACGACGUCCAACUACCACUACUAACCCCUAACUCGAUGUUAACCAUUAACCCUAAUCACCUACCUGAGCUGAAGGCUUACCACGUUGACGAAGCAGAUUUACGGAAGCGAGCCAAACAUGUUAAGAAAUGUAAAGAGGCCGUAUGGAAUCGUUGGACAAGAGAGUAUAUAAGAAGUCUUCGUGAGCAACAUCGUCGCGCUGGAGGAAAACAAACACCAUACCCGAACGUCGGAGACGUAGUGAUCAUCAAGAGCGAAAAGAAGAACCGGAAUACGUGGAAACUAGGCAUCGUCACUGAAUUGAUAAAGGGAAGAGAUGGAAUCACAAGAGCUGCAAAAUUAAGAGUUGGUACUGGCAACCUUGAACGUGCCCUUCAACACCUGUGUCCCCUAGAACUGUCCUGCGACUGGCAACAACCACCUCAACUUGACGCAAAUGCACCCACGUUUCAACCAAGACCAAAACGAGAUGCGGCGGUGGCGGCGGAAAUGCGGAUUCAACAAACGGCGGAAGAAGAAGAAGACAACGAUUACUAAACGAAUUGUUUGAGACUAAUAACUAAAUUUUCUAGAGUUGAUAUUUGACAUUAGCUAAUGUUGGAACUUGUAUGUCAGACGGAUGUACUGUAACAUGCAUAUCACUCCGUGGAUAUACAUGGGGGAGUGUGUCCGGAAAUGGGAUUGAUGCCCGGUGGACUUUAUUGCCGGUAGCUGACGUCACCGACCACGCUACCGGAAGUGCAAGCUAAGCAUGUUUUCUAUGUAUUCGGGAAAAUUGUGAAAUAUACAACAACAUUGUGAUUUUUAAGCGAAAAUAUAUUGUUUUAAACCUUUUAUUGUGACUUGUUGUGGGAUACAUAUCCUUGGAGGC
rnacentral:lncRNA from 1 species